rnacentral:rRNA from 1 species
GUCUCUUUGUUUAUAUUUUAUAAAGAGUCUAACCUGCCCGGUGAUAUACAUUUAACGGCCGCGGUACUCUGACCGUGCAAAGGUAGCAUAAUCAUUUGCCUUAUAAUUAAAGGCUCGUAUGAAUGGUUUAACAAGAAUUGAUUUGUCUCUUAUUAAUUAAAAUGAAAUUGAUUUUUAGAUGUAAAAGCCUAAAUAUUACUAAUAGACAAGAAGACCCUAUUGAGCUUAAAAGAUUUAUAAUAAUGUAAGUUAUAUUGAAAAUAGAAAUUGUAAGUUAUUAAGAUUUUUAGUUGGGGCGACUAUUGGAACAAAUAAAACUUCCAGAUUUUAUAAUACCUGAUGUUAGUUUAUUUAAAUUGGAUCCAAAAUGUUUUGAUUAAUAGAAUAAGUUACCAUAGGGAUAACAGCAUAAUCUAUCUUAAGAGUUCUAAUCGAAAGAAAGGUUUAUGACCUCGAUGUUGGAUUAAAAUAUCCUAAGGGUGUAGAAGUUCUUAGCGGUUGGUCUGUUCGACCAUUAAAAUUUU